rnacentral:pre_miRNA from 1 species
AAAAAGACAAACCCUGGUUUCCGUGUCCAACGUUUGACCGUCCGUCUUAUUUGAAAAAAAUAUGAAAAAAAAUAAAAAGACAAGUCACGCAUAAAAUAUUAAUCAUGUUUUAUCAUCUAACAACAAUGAAAAUACGAAUUAUAAAAAAAUUUCAUAUAAGACGGAUAGUCAAAGUUGGACACGGAAACUCAGGGUUUGCCUUUUU